GUAAUGAUGACAUAGUUCCUACAGAGACAAAUUGUGUUAAAAAUGAAAUUGACCCAGAACAUUAUAUGAACUGUGAUCCUGGCACCCAUAGUGUUAAGGAAGAAAUUGGCCCAGAAAGUGAGAUGAGCAGUGAUCACGACACCAUUAG